CCUACGGGAGGCAGCAGUAGGGAAUAUUGCUCAAUGGGGGAAACCCUGAAGCAGCAACGCCGCGUGGAGGAUGAAGGUUUUCGGAUUGUAAACUCCUUUUGUUAGAGAAGAUAAUGACGGUAUCUAACGAAUAAGCACCGGCUAACUCCGUGCCAGCAGCCGCGGUAAUACGGAGGGUGCAAGCGUUACUCGGAAUCACUGGGCGGAAAGAGCGCGUAGGGGGGAUAGCAAGUCAGAUGUGAAAUCCUAUGGCUUAACCAUAGAACUGCAUUUGAAACUGUUAUUCUAGAGUAUGGGAGAGGUAGGUGGAAUUCUUGGUGUAGGGGUAAAAUCCGUAGAGAUCAAGAGGAAUACUCAUUGCGAAGGCGACCUGCUAGAACAUAACUGACGCUGAUGCGCGAAAGCGUGGGGAGCAAACAGGAUUAGAUACCCCAGUAGUC
rnacentral:rRNA from 1 species